rnacentral:tRNA from 1 species
GGGUCGAUGUCCGAGUGGCUAAAGGAGGCGGUCUGUAAAAUCGUCGGCGCAAGCCUACACAAGUUCGAAUCUUGUUCGGCCCACCA